GACAGAGGGUGCGAACGUUGUUCGGAAUUACUGGGCGUAAAGGGCGCGUAGGCGGCCUGCUAAGUCGAACGUGAAAUCCCCGGGCUCAACCCGGGAACUGCGUCCGAUACUGGCAGGCUUGAAUCCGGGAGAGGGAUGUGGAAUUCCAGGUGUAGCGGUGAAAUGCGUAGAUAUCUGGAGGAACACCGGUGGCGAAGGCGGCAUCCUGGACCGGCAUUGACGCUGAGGCGCGAAAGCGUGGGGAGCAAACAGG
rnacentral:rRNA from 1 species